ensembl:processed_transcript
GGCGAGGGGCUUAAGGGGAGCCGAAAUAGGGGUGCGGUCCCCCUAAGCCAGCCGGCUUUCCUUGCGGGCCUCAGACGCCUGGGGUUCCAGGCGCGCCACGCGGAUUGAGGCCGCGCGCGCGCGCAUCGCGCCGCGCCGCGCCGCAGCGGUUACUCCCAAGGGCGAAACGCAGUCAGACAGCAGACGGCUAUUGGGCGGGACGACCGUCAGUCAAGACGGAAGACGGAAACGGCCUGUGGGGGAGGGGGAGGGCGUGAAUGAGUAGGCGCACGUGAUACCGUCUGAACCAAUGAGCGAGCCUUUGUCCGACCCGUGGGACGCCAUCUUGAGAGUGGGUACGUGGCGGGUCAGAUGCCGAGAAGCGUGCGUUCCGGAGGUUUGCCUCCACGUCGCAAGCGGGCACUGGAAGCCGUUGGCCUCCAACGUGAGAGUAAAGCGAGGCGCUUCGCCAUCUUAGAAGCGGGCAGACAACCCCGUAUUGCCUUAGCUCGCUUGUGGUCACGUGGCCAGAACUUGGCCUUUCAACCGAGUUUCUCCUGGACUAGAUCGCAACGAGAUGGAGGCCACGUGCUUCACAGACGCAGUCGCGACUCGAUCGUGAAUCAUCUCCUUCCGUCUUUUGUCUACCCACAGCAGCCAAGCUCCACCUGUGUCGCAGGAAUGGGGAAACCGAGGAAAGGAACCGCAGUGUGGCUGGUUCUGCCUAUAGCUGGGAAACGAGGCUACAAAGUAUCCAGUUGCAAAUAAACUCUGGAGCCGCAGAAUCCACUGGAGGGACAAAACUCCGCCCUCCACCCCAGGAGCCGGGAUUCUGCGGUCCAGUCCUGGGGGAUCGCAGAGCAAGACAGGUUCUCCAAGGCCUAGUGCAAGCUAUAAAACAGAGGUCCUUUGGUGGGGCUCCCAAAGGCACAAACUAUUCGGAUUCUUGUCUGCCUGGUUAUCUGCUAAAAAAACAAAAGAAGGCCAGGCAAGGGGGAAAAGUUUCUCCUCCGCCUUGCACGGGAGGUGAGCCCAGCACUGGCCUCCCUUUUCUGUAAUCCAGGGGGGGGGGAGGGGCUGGCGGCUAUGCUGGUUUCCCUUGUAGACCUGGCCAGGGGCCCAACAGCCUUGGAGCCCCAACGCGGGCUUGGUGCCAGAGGAUUCCAGCCUGGAUUAGGGGCGGCUGCCGAUUUCCAUGGAGGCCGCGCCGCCGGGAGUGAGGUCUUUCAGGCCCCAGCCAGCCGGCACAGCAGCUAGCUUGAAGGCCCAGAAUCACUAAUCAGGACCGUCUCGCGGAUUUAGAAAAUAAAAACACACACACACACACACAACAAGGCGUAGGAUUUGAGCCCUCUGGGACUCCCAUCAGGUCCUGGCCGGACCAGCAGGGAUAAAGUUGGCUGCCAGUUUUUGUUCUCUGGGUGGCCGGUGCCAAGCAGGAGCCCCACCCUCAGAAGCCGACCUGCAUGGGUGGCUGCCAGUGAAGUUGGAGGCUGCUGAUGUCCAAGGAGCACAGGUCUACACUAGCAGAGUUUGUUAAAAGCCACUUCAGAGACCUCCCAGAAUCUUUCUUAUAGAAACAGGUUUUCUGUAUGUAGCCCUGGCUAUACCGAACUCCCUUUAUAGACCAGGCUGGCCUCAAACGCCCAGAGAUCUGCCUUCUGAGUUAAUGGCCUGCCCCACCACGCCUGGCUUCCUGGAACAACUGAAUGGUCUUGUUCACCUUCUAUUCCUUAUCUGCUUCCUGAUCCGAAUCAGACCUCCAAUACUCAGUGGAGAACAUUUAAUUCAGAAUCACAACCCCGCACUGCAGAGCCCCAACCUGCUGGCCUUGCAUGGAUCCACUGCCUCUGCUUCCUGAGUGCUGGAAUCAAAGGCGGGUGCCACCAUGCCCAGCUAGAAUUGUUUGUUUUGAGACAAGUUCUCAACUUUGUGACCCAGAUUGUCCGAGAAUUCAUAUGUCAGACUGGCCUCAAGCCGGCAGUGAUCCUCCUGUUUCCGAAUCCUGAGUGAUGAAAUGACAAGUGCCUCUAUGCCAAGCCAGAGUGAGUUCAAGACCAGGUUGGGCAACAUAGUAAAGAGGGCAAGAGACAGGGGAGGGGGAACCUCUGCUUUGAACCCCCCAAAGAGGGCCUAGAGGUGGAACCCCAGCCUAGAAUUCCCCAGUGAGUUGAGUGUGGCUCAGGGGUGGAACCCCAGCCUAGAAUGCCUCAGUUAGGGGCUGGGAGCAUGGCUCAGCAUUAGGACAUUGGCCCAGCACGCACGAGACCCUGGCUUCCUUUUCCAAAGCUGCCAGAGCAUUUUUUAAAAACGGAUUAAUGUUUUGUGUUGCUGUUGUGAUGCAGCCCCCACAAUGAACUGCCCCUGACGUCACUGAUGUGAACAUCUGGAGCCCAGAGGUCUGAAACCGGGCUUGGCACAGGAAGUGCCAGCUCCAAGUGUCCAGGAUUUGUGACAGAGUCCCUGUGUGUUUUUCUGCCUUCAGACUGUCUUCUACUAAAUCCGGCCUGGAUAAUUUCAGUUUCGGGACCCUGAACUGCAUCUACAAAGAAUCUUUGUGGGGCUAGGGCUGGAGCUCACUCCCACCCCGCCCAACUAGACCCGUGUUUGCCGCUCACUGAUCAUGCCCAAGGCCCCAACCAUCGCUGGUCACAAUAACCCGUCUCAAAGUUACGGGUAGCUUUUAGUCCCUGCAAAAAAAAGCCUGGCUUAGGAAGCCUCCACCCAGAGGAGGCCAAGAGACUUAGUGUCCUCAAGUGGGCUGGCUUUUGGGGGAACCAUGGUUUAGUGACCAGUCAUGUUUACUGCCUCCCUGUCUCUGCAGAACACCUGUUGGGGAAGACUGCAUUGUUUAGCUCUCCCGACUUUGUCUGGAGCCUGCCCAGCGCCCACCUCAGCCUUGCCAGCUGCUGCUCAUGAAUGAUUGAGGUGAGGAGGGACAGCUCACCUGGCCUUUGUCUGAGAGGCACACUAGCCUGCUUGUUACCAGGGAAAGUGAUACUCCCCUGUAGGAGGAGAUGGAGGCAGGGGCGAGGGGCCCUCAGAGCCAGAGCCAAGUGAAACUCAGAACAAUACAAGGAAGAUGGACACAAGCCUCAGUUUAUUCCUCUAUACAAGGGAAACAAGGCCAGUGUCCCCACCAGAGGAAAUAGUCGAUAGGUUGUUAUUUCUUGUUUGACUGCCUUGCUGGGGAUGGAGCCCAGGACUUCAGAACUACUGAGCCACAGCCCCUGUUGUCAUGGUUACUGGGAGGUCUAGGAAGGAACCUUGAAGGCUGAGACCCUCCUGUCUUAACCUCUCAGAAACAUGACCUGACCAGCCUGGGCCACCAC